GAGCAAUCCUGGCGGCGAGUGGCGAACGGGUGAGUAAUACAUCGGAACAUGUCCAGUAGUGGGGGAUAGUCCAGCGAAAGCCGGAUUAAUACCGCAUACGAUCUUUGGAUGAAAGCGGGGGAUCGCAAGACCUCGCGCUAUUGGGGGGARAUGGCGGAUUAGCUAGUUGGUGGGGUAAAGGCCCACCAAGGCGACGAUCCGUAGCUGGUCUGAGAGGACGACCAGCCACACUGGGACUGAGACACGGCCCAGACUCCUACGGGAGGCAGCAGUGGGGAAUUUUGGACAAUGGGCGCAAGCCUGAUCCAGCAAUGCCGCGUGUGUGAAGAAGGCCUUCGGGUUGUAAAGCACUUUUGUCCGGAAAGAAAUCCUGAUGGCUAAUAUCCGUCGGGGAUGACGGUACCGGAUUAUUAAGCACCGGCUAACUACGUGCCAGCAGCCGCGGUAAUACGUAGGGUGCAAGCUUUUAAUCGGAAUUACUGGGCGUAAAGCGUGCGGAGGCGGUGAUGUAAGACCGAUGUGAAAUCCCCGGGGCUUAACCUGGGAAACUGCAUUGGUGACUGCAUCGCUGGAGUAUGGCAGAGGGGGGGUAGAAUUCCACGUGUAGCAGUGAAAUGGCGUAGAGAAUGUGGAGGAAUACCGAUGGCGAAGGGCAGCCCCCCUGGGCCAAUACUUGAACGCUUCAUGCACGAAAAGCGUGGGGAAGCAAAACAGGAUUAGAUACCCUGGGUAGUCCAUCACCCCUAAACGAAUGUCAACUUGGUUGUCGCGGGCCCUUCAUUUGGGUUUGGAUAACCGCAACCU
rnacentral:rRNA from 1 species